rnacentral:lncRNA from 1 species
UUCUUAUCGUUCUUCUCCUUCUCCUCCUUCUUAUUCUUCUUCUUCCUUUUCUUCUCCUUCUUCUCCUCCUCUUUAUUCUCCUCUUUCUUCUCGUCCUUAGCUUAUUUUCCCAAAGAAAUACAUACUUAGCUAAUUAUCCUCCAAAAUAACAUAAUGAGAUUAUUUCAUUCAUUUAUUCCAUAAUUAGCUUAGUUAGGUAAAAAAAUC